rnacentral:rRNA from 1 species
GAUGAACGCUAGCGGCAGGCUUAAUACAUGCAAGUUGAGGGGCAGCAUGAUAUACGCGAGUAUAUUGAUGGCGACCGGCGGACGGGUGAGUAAUAGGUAGGAGACCUACCUCAUACAGGGGGAUAGCAUAGAGAAAUCUGUGGUAAUACCCCAUGAGGUUAUAUGAAUAGAGGCAUAUAAUCAAAGCAUAAGCGAUUAUGCGGUAUGAGAGGGGCCUACUGACCAUUAGCUAGUUGGUGAGGUAAGGGCUCACCAAGGCGAAGAUGGUUAGGGGUUUUGAGAGAGAGACCCCCCACAUUGGAACUGAGAGACGGUCCAGACUCCUACGGGAGGCAGCAGUACGGGAAUAUUGGGCAAGUGGGCGAAAGCCUAGACCCAGCCAUGCCGCGUGAAGGAAGACGGACCUUAUGGGUUGUAAACUUCUUUUACUACGUCGAAUAGAGGUUAGUACGAGAUACUAAUAGGAAGGUAGUAGUAGUAAAAGCAACCGGCUAACUCCGUAGCCG